rnacentral:rRNA from 1 species
AGUGAACGCUGGCGGCAGGCCUAACACAUGCAAGUCGAACGGCAGCACAAGAGAGCUUGCUCUCUGGGUGGCGAGUGGCGGACGGGUGAGGAAUGCAUCGGAAUCUGCCCAUUUGUGGGGGAUAACCUCGGGAAACCGGGACUAAUACCGCAUACGACCUACGGGUGAAAGCAGGGGAUCUUCGGACCUUGCGCAGAUGGAUGAGCCGAUGCCGGAUUAGCUAGUUGGAGGGGUAAAGGCCCACCAAGGCGACGAUCCGUAGCUGGCCUGAGAGGAUGAUCAGCCACACUGGGACUGAGACACGGCCCAGACUCCUACGGGAGGCAGCAGUGGGGAAUAUUGGACAAUGGGCGCAAGCCUGAUCCAGCCAUGCCGCGUGUGUGAAGAAGGCCUUCGGGUUGUAAAGCACUUUUGUUGGGAAAGAAAAGCAGCCGGUUAAUACCCGGUUGUCAUGACGGUACCCAAAGAAUAAGCACCGGCUAACUUCGUG